rnacentral:rRNA from 1 species
GACAGAGGAUGCAAGCGUUAUCCGGAAUGAUUGGGCGUAAAGCGUCUGUAGGUGGCUUUUUAAGUCCGCCGUCAAAUCCCAGGGCUCAACCCUGGACAGGCGGUGGAAACUACCAAGCUGGAGUACGGUAGGGGCAGAGGGAAUUUCCGGUGGAGCGGUGAAAUGCGUAGAGAUGUCAUAGAACACCGAUUGCGAAGGCAGCUGACGAAACUAUAACUGACACUGAGGCUCGAAAGUGCGGGGAUCAAACAGG